rnacentral:rRNA from 1 species
UACGUAGGGGGCGAGCGUUGUCCGGAUUUAUUGGGCGUAAAGAGCUCGUAGGCGGUUUGGCAAGUCGGGUGUGAAAACUCCGGGCUCAACUCGGAGACGCCACUCGAUACUGCCAUGACUCGAGUCCGGUAGGGGAGUGCGGAAUUCCUGGUGUAGCGGUGAAAUGCGCAGAUAUCGGGAGGAACACCGGUGGCGAAGGCGGUUCUCUGGGCCUGUACUGACGCUGAGGAGCGAAAGCGUGGGGAGCGAACAGG